UCAAGCUAUUAAGUGCGCACGGGGGAUGCCUAGGCGUCGAGAGGCGAUGAAGGACGUGGUAGGCUGCGAUAAGCCUCGGGGAGCUGUCAAACAAGCGUUGAUCCGGGGAUUUCCGAAUCGGGAAACCGGGCGUCACUGCGCAAGCAGAUGGCGUCAUCCGUAAGUGAAUUCAUAGCUUACGGAAGCGAACCCAGGGAAGUGAAACAUCUCAGUACCUGGAGGAAAAGAAAUCAACCGAGACUCCGUUAGUAGCGGCGAGCGAAGACGGAUCUAGCCCAAACCGUGGUGCUUGCACCGCGGGGUUGCGGGCCCUUGAGGAGUUACAAAGGCGUCGUUAGCUGAAGGGCUUGGAAAGGUCCAGCAUAGAAGGUGACACUCCUGUAAGCGAAAACGACUGCCCUCCUUCGAGAGGGUACCCAGAGUAGCAUAGAGCUCGUGGAACUCUGUGUGAAGCAGGGGGGACCACCCUCCAAGGCUAAGUACUACUCGACGACCGAUAGUGAACAAGUAAGGCGACUGAAAGGUGAAAAGAACCCCUUCUAGGGGAGUUAAAAGAACCUGAAACCGUGCGCUUACAAGCUGUGGGAGCACGAUACCCGCUUGCGGGAACGUGUGACCGCGUGCCUUUUGCAUAAUGAACCGGCGAGUUACGGUUUACAGCAAGGUUAAUCCGCUACGCGGAGGAGCCGAAGCGAAAGCGAGUCUGAAUAGGGCGACAAGUUGUAGGCCGUAGACCCGAAACCGAGUGAUCUACUCAUGGCCAGACUGAAGUGACCGUAAAAGGUCGCGGAGGGUCGAACGGGUUAACGUUGAAAAGUUAUCCGAUGAGCUGUGAGGAGGAGUAAAAGUCUAAUCAAACUCGGAGAUAUCUGGUUCUCCCCGAAAUAGCUUUUGGGCUAGCCUCGGGAAACUACGUCAUGGGGGUAGAGCUACUGAAUGAGACGAGGGUCCUACCCGGAUCCCUCCCUCAACCAAACUCCGAAUACCAUGACGACUACCCCGGGAGUCAGUCUGUGGGGGAUAAACUUCAUGGACAAGAGGGAAACAGCCCGGAUCGUCGGCUAAGGUCCCUAAUCUAUGCUAAGUGCGUAAGGAAGUCCUUGUUCUGAGACAGCGGGGAUGUUGGCUUAGAAGCAGCCACCAUUUAAAAAGUGCGUAAUAGCUUACCCAUCGAGAACUUGGGCGCCGAUAAUGAACGGGACUAAGCAUAGUACCGAAGCCACGGGAUUCAGAGGCCUUCGGGCUUCUGAUUCGGUAGGGGAGCGUUGAUGGGUAGAUACAGGCCAUACCGUAAGGAGUGGUUGCGGACCCAUCAAGUGAUAAUGCCGGUAUGAGUAACGAUAAACAGGGUGAAAAUCCCUGUCGCCGCAAGCCUAAGGUUUCCUGGGGAAGGUAAAUCCGCCCAGGGUUAGGCGGUCCCUAAGACGAGGCCGAAAGGCGUAGUCGAUGGACAGCAGGUUAAUAUUCCUGCCCUCCGUAAGACCUAUCCACGCGUGCGUUUUUCCAAGGCGCAGCCCACGAUAAGUAGCGAGGGUUGCCGAGAGGCCGAGGCCGAUUUGUUGCCGAAGUGCGUGGAGGAAGAGCCGAGAAAAGCGUGUGGGAUUUAUUUUGCGGAUCCGUACUAAAACUGACACAGGUAGGCGAGGCGCGUAGCCUCAGGCGCUCGAGAGAACCGUCCUUAAGGAACUAGGCAAUUUGACCCCGUAACUUCGGGAAAAGGGGUCCCUACCCGCUUCGGCGGGAGGGCGCAGAGAAUCGGCUCUGGCGACUGUUUAUCAAAAACACAGGUCUCUGCUAACACGUAUAGUGGACGUAUAGAGACUGACGCCUGCUCGGUGUGGGAAUGUUAAGGAAGUCGGUCAGGGGCAACCUAAAGCUGGCAACCGAAGCACCCAUAAACGGCGGCCCUAACUAUGAGGGUCCUAAGGUAGCGAAAUUCCUUGUCGGGUAAGUUCCGACGCGCAUGAAUGGCGUAACGACUGGAGCACUGUCUCAAGGACGGACUCGGUGAAAUUGUACUUGUGGUGAAGAUACCACAUACCCGCGGCAAGACGGAAAGACCCCGUGAACCUUUACUGUAGCCUGAUAUUGGUCACAGUCAACAUAUGCGUAGGAUAGGUGGGAGGCGACGAUCCGGUGGUUCCGGCCAUCGGUUAGCCAUCCUUGAAAUACCACCCUUGUGUUGUUUGUUCCCUAACCCCAUACCGUGAAUCCGGGUGGGGGACAGUGUUAGGUGGGCAGUUUGACUGGGGCGGUCUCCUCCUAAAGAGUAACGGAGGAGUGCAAUGGUCGGCUCAACGCGGUUGGCAAUCGCGUGUCGAGUGCAAAGGCAUAAGCCGGCUUAACUGCGAGACCCGCACGUCAAGCAGAUACGAAAGUAGGUCUUAGUGAUCCGGUAAUCCCGUGUGGAAGGGUUAUCGCUC
rnacentral:rRNA from 1 species